CGGACGGGUGAGUAACGCGUGGGUAACCUGCCUUAUACAGGGGGAUAACAGUCAGAAAUGACUGCUAAUACCGCAUAAGCGCACAGGACCGCAUGGUCCGGUGUGAAAAACUCCGGUGGUAUAAGAUGGACCCGCGUUGGAUUAGCUGGUUGGUGAGGUAACGGCCCACCAAGGCGACGAUCCAUAGCCGGCCUGAGAGGGUGAACGGCCACAUUGGGACUGAGACACGGCCCAG
rnacentral:rRNA from 1 species